GGUUAAGUUAUUAAGGGCGCAUGGUGGAUGCCUUGGCACUAGGAGCCGAUGAAGGACGGGACUAACACCGAUAUGCUUCGGGGAGCUGUAAGUAAGCUUUGAUCCGGAGAUUUCCG
rnacentral:rRNA from 1 species